rnacentral:misc_RNA from 1 species
GCAAACUUGGUCAUUUAGAGGAAGUAAAAGUCGUAACAAGGUUUCCGUAGGUGAACCUGCGGAAGGAUCAUUAUUGAAAAGUUUUGGGGACUACUGUUGCUGGCCUUUGUAACAGGAAGGCAUGUGCACGUAUUCUCUAAUCUACUUCAUCCACCUGUGCACUUUUUGUAGGGAUUCUUUUAGGUUGACUGGCAGAUUUUCUACAGUUGAUUUGAAGGGAUUUCCUAUGUUUCUACAAACUAUUUAAGCAUGUUAUAGAAUGUUAUUUUACUGGGGACUUCAUUGGACCCUUUAAAACUUUAUACAACUUUCAGCAACGGAUCUCUUGGCUCUCCCAUCGAUGAAGAACGCAGC